GCCAGGUGUGGUGGCGCAUGCCUGUAAUCCCAGCUACUCAGGAGGCUGAGGCAGGAGAAUUGCUUGAGCCCAGGAGGCAGAGGCUGCAGUGAGCUGAGAUUGCACCGCUGCACUCCAGCCUGGGCAACAAAGCUAGACUCUAUUUCAA
rnacentral:sRNA from 1 species